rnacentral:rRNA from 1 species
GAAAGCAAGAAAGGGCGCACGGCGGAUGCCUGUGGCUCGGGAAGGCGAAGAAGGGCGCGGCAAGCUGCGAAAAGCCCCGGGGAGACGCAAGCGGUCUCUGAUCCGGGGGUACCCGAAUGGGGCAACCCGGCAGUCUGACGGACUGCCAUCCGCGGCUUUCCGCGGAGGCGAACCGGGGGAACUGAAACAUCUUAGUACCCCGAGGAAGAGAAAACAAAACGUGAUUCCCCCAGUAGUGGCGAGCGACCGGGGAAGAGCCCAAACCGGCGCGAUUCCGGUCGCGUCGGGGUUGUAGGACUGGAGCAGUGGCAAGAGCGGAGCGAGCGGAAGCGUCUGGAAAGUCGCCCCGCAGACGGUGAAAGGCCGGUACGCGAAGCCGAGCGAAGCCCUCCAUGAUCCUGAGUAGCGCGGGGCACGUGGAACCCCGCGUGAAUCCGGCGGGCCCAUCCGCCAAGGCUAAAUACUCUCCCGAGACCGAUAGCGCACAAGUACCGUGAGGGAAAGGUGAAAAGCACCCAUCGCAUGGGAGUGAAAUAGUUCCUGAAACCGUGCGCCUACAAGCUGUCAGAGCGGGCCUAGUCCCGUGAUGGCGUGCCUUUUGCAUAAUGAGCCUACGAGUUGCCCGCACCAGCGAGGUUAAGCGCCAUGAGGCGCGCAGCCGCAGCGAAAGCGAGUCUGAAGAGGGCGUUUUUUCAGUUGGUGCCGGCAGACGCGAAACCAGGUGAUCUACCCGUGGCCAGGCUGAAGUCCAGGUAACGCUGGAUGGAGGGCCGAACCGAUAAGCGUUGAAAAGCUUCCGGAUGAGCUGCGGGUAGGAGCGAAAGACCAAUCAAACCUGGAGAUAGCUCGUACUCCCCGAAAAGCAUUUAGGUGCUGCCUGGGGCGUUCCCCGCGCGAGGUAGAGCGACCGGUAGGAUGCGAGGGCUUCGCCGCCUGUCAAGUCCUGUCGAACUCCGAAUGCGCGCGGGCCAGAGCCCUGGAGAAAGGGGGCGGGUGCUAACGUCCGCUCCCGAGAGGAGAACAAUCCUGACCGCCGUCUAAGGCCCCGAAGUCGCAGCUAAGUUAGUCUAACGCAGUCUCUUCCCCAUGACAGCUAGCAUGUUGGCUUGGAAGCAGCCAUUCAUUCAAAGAGUGCGUAACAGCUCACUAGUCGAGGGAUCAGGCAUGGAUAAUAAUCGGGUAUGAAGCUGCGCGCCGAAGCCGCGGGAUGCAUGACGCAUCGGUAGGGGAGCAUUCCGGUCAGCGCUGAAGCCGCUGCGCGAGCCGCGGUGGAGCGUCCGGAAAAGCAGAUGUAGGCAUAAGUAACGAUAAGGGGGGUGGGAUUCCCCCCCGCCGCAAGACCAAGGGUUCCCGGGCGACGCCAAUCGCCCCGGGGUAAGCCGGAGCCUAAUGAUAAGCCGAAAGGCGACGCAGAUGGAAGAAUCGGUCAACAUUCCGAUGCUGGCCGCGCGGGCGACGCGGGGACGCGGGAGUGACACCUCCGCCUGCUGACGGAAACGCAGGUUGAAGGGCGUAGGCGCCGAGGGGGGCAGGUAAGCCCACCCCCCGAGCCGAACCUGACAGUACCAGAGGGGCCUCGGCCCCGGUGGACAGCGAGGGUAACCAUGCCGCCGAGAAAAUCCGCUAAGCUUCACCGCGCGGGCAUCCGUACUCGAAACGGACACACGUGGUCGGGUAGAGCAUACCAAGGCGCUUGGGUGAUUCGUGGUUAAGGAACUAGGCAAACUGACCCCGUAACUUCGGGAUAAGGGGUCCUCGCAGCAAUGCGAGGCGCAGAGAAUAGGUCCAGGCAACUGUUUACCAAAAACACAGGGCUGUGCGAAGCAUAGAGGCCAAGUAUACAGCCUGACACCUGCCCGGUGCCGGAAGGUUAAGAGGAGGCGUCAUCCCUUCGGGGGGCAGCGCUGAAUUGAAGCCCCGGUAAACGGCGGCCGUAACUAUAACGGUCCUAAGGUAGCGAAAUUCCUUGUCGGGUAAGUUCCGACCUGCA